AAAUUGAAGAGUUUGAUCAUGGCUCAGAUUGAACGCUGGCGGCAGGCCUAACACAUGCAAGUCGAACGGUAGCACAGAGAGCUUGCUCUCGGGUGACGAGUGGCGGACGGGUGAGUAAUGUCUGGGAAACUGCCCGAUGGAGGGGGAUAACUACUGGAAACGGUAGCUAAUACCGCAUAACGUCGCAAGACCAAAGAGGGGGACCUUAGGGCCUCUUGCCAUCGGAUGUGCCCAGAUGGGAUUAGCUUGUUGGUGAGGUAACGGCUCACCAAGGCGACGAUCCCUAGCUGGUCUGAGAGGAUGACCAGCCACACUGGAACUGAGACACGGUCCAGACUCCUACGGGAGGCAGCAGUGGGGAAUAUUGCACAAUGGGCGCAAGCCUGAUGCAGCCAUGCCGCGUGUAUGAAGAAGGCCUUCGGGUUGUAAAGUACUUUCAGCGGGGAGGAAGGGGUUAAGGUUAAUAACCUUAGCCAUUGACGUUACCCGCAGAAGAAGCACCGGCUAACUCCGUGCCAGCAGCCGCGGUAAUACGGAGGGUGCAAGCG
rnacentral:rRNA from 1 species